AGAGUUUGAUCCUGGCUCAGAAUCAACGCUGGCGGCGCGCCUAACACAUGCAAGUCGAACGAGAAAGGGGAGCAAUCCCUGAGUACAGUGGCGUACGGGUGAGUAACACGUGGAUGAUCUACCUUUUAGUGAGGAAUAACCAAGGGAAACCGUGGCUAAUACCGCAUAAGCCCGAGAGGGGAAAGUCGAAAGACGCUGAAAGAGGAGUCCGCGGCCGAUUAGCUAGUUGGUAGGGUAAAAGCCUACCAAGGCAAAGAUCGGUAGCCGGCCUGAGAGGGCACACGGCCACACUGGCACUGAAACACGGGCCAGACUCCUACGGGAGGCAGCAGUGGGGAAUCUUGCACAAUGGGGGAAACCCUGAUGCAGCGACGCCGCGUGAGCGAUGAAGCCCUUCGGGGUGUAAA
rnacentral:rRNA from 1 species